rnacentral:tRNA from 1 species
UCCCUGGUGGCUCAGAUGGUAAAGCAUCUGCCUGAAAUGUGGAAGAUCCAGGUUUGAUCCCUGGGUGGGGAA